CCCGGAGCUGAAUCGGGCUCGGCCCGAUCCUCCCACCCUUUGUGUACCUACCUCUGUUGCUUUGGCGGGCCGCGGUCCUCCGCGGCCGCCCCCCUCCCCGGGGGGGUGGCCAGCGCCCGCCAGAGGACCAUCAAACUCCAGUCAGUAAACGAUGCAGUCUGAAAAACAUUUAAUAAACUAAAACUUUCAACAACGGAUCUCUUGGUUCUGGCAUCGAUGAAGAACGCAGCGAAAUGCGAUAAGUAAUGUGAAUUGCAGAAUUCAGUGAAUCAUCGAAUCUUUGAACGCACAUUGCGCCCUUUGGUAUUCCGAAGGGCAUGCCUGUUCGAGCGUCAUUACAACCCUCAAGCUCUGCUUGGUAUUGGGCACCGUCCUUUGCGGGCGCGCCUCAAAGACCUCGGCGGUGGCGUCUUGCCUCAAGCGUAGUAGAACAUACAUCUCGCUUCGGAGCGCAGGGCGUCGCCCGCCGGACGAACCUUCUGAACUUUUCUCAAGGUUGACCUCGGAUCAGGUAGGGAUACCCGCUGAACUUAAGCAUAUCAUAAGACCGGAGGAAUC
rnacentral:rRNA from 1 species